AUCAUUGGAGAAACUGCAAAAGGCAUAAUGUAGAGAUGACUGAGGAAAAAAAAGAUUAUCUGUUCUUACAGAUUUUGCAUUGAUAUGUUUGGUUACCAGUGAUGGAGAGGAAGGAAUUCACAGGGAGUUGCCAACAGAGUACAGCAAAGUUUGGGCUCUGAAAGGCACUACUCUGAAUAUCAUCAAACGGUUACCCUGUUGGAGGAGCUGCACCCUCCCACUAUCAAGAAACAAGCAGCCCCAGAUCAUUAGUCUGCCUGAAGGAGGCUCUGCACACUGCCAAGAAGAGGCCUAAGCUGAGAUGGUUUGGGGGCAGGUGGAAAGAACAGUCUGCACUUAACAUCUGCUUUAAUCCUGAAGAUAUCCCAUGAAAAGAGGCUAUGCUACUGCUGCAAAGAAUUUUUAUGAUUUUAACGAGGCAGUAUAUGGUAACCCUGUAACUAGCUCAGAAUAUAUUUAUUACUCCAGUUGUGCUGUUUUUUUUUUUUUUUACUGAAAAUGCAGAUACAGUUUGCAGCAGUAGAAAAGGAUAUAAAAUACCUCUGGUGAAAACAAGCUUUUUCAAGGGAUGAGAAAGUUCAGGCUGGGUAGCAGUGAAG
rnacentral:lncRNA from 1 species